UGGGGUGUAGCCAAGUGGUAAGGCAACGGGUUUUGGCCCUGUGACACGUAGGUUCGAAUCCUCCCACCUCAG
rnacentral:tRNA from 1 species